ACGAACGCUGGCGGCGUGCUUAACACCUGCAAGUCGCACGGAAAGGCCCUGCUUUUGUGGGGUGCUCGAGUGGCGAACGGGUGAGUAACACGUGAGUAACCUGCCCUUGACUUUGGGAUAACUUCAGGAAACUGGGGCUAAUGCCGGAUAGGAGCUCCUGCUGCAUGGUGGGGGUUGGAAAGUUUCGGCGGUUGGGGAUGGACUCGCGGCUUAUCAGCUUGUUGGUGGGGUAGUGGCUUACCAAGGCUUUGACGGGUAGCCGGCCUGAGAGGGUGACCGGCCACAUUGGGACUGAGAUACGGCCCAGACUCCUACGGGAGGCAGCAGUGGGGAAUAUUGCACAAUGGGCGGAAGCCUGAUGCAGCAACGCCGCGUGCGGGAUGACGGCCUUCGGGUUGUAAACCGCUUUCGCCUGUGACGAAGCGUGAGUGACGGUAAUGGGUAAAGAAGCACCGGCUAACUACGUG
rnacentral:rRNA from 1 species